CAGAAGCGUAUAUUAAUGUUGUUGCAGUUAAAACGCUCGUAGUUGGAUUUUGGAGGUGGGUAUGAGCUCUGUCCGCCUGAAGGCGAGUACGGACUCUCCCUCUCUGUAUUUGGUAACAGGACAGCGGGGCCCUUAACUGGGUGGCCGCUUGGGUGGAGGGCAACCGAGACCCGGACGAGGCGGGCGCAGCGGGCAGGGUGGAGACAUCCGGUUCGGGCGUGUGUCGCGUGGUGCUUUACCUCGUUUACUUUGAAAAAAAUAGAGUGCUCAAAGCAGUUCGUAAGAACAUUGAAUAAUUCAGCAUGGGAUAAUAGAACAUGAGAUCGAGCUCAUUUUGUUGGUAUUUUGAGUUUGAACUAAUGAUUAAAAGGGACAGUCGGGGUGGUUUGUAUUGAAAAGCUAGAGGUGAAAUUCUUGGAUUUUUUCAAGACAAACUACUGCGAAAGCAAUCCACUAGGAUGUACCCAUUAA
rnacentral:rRNA from 1 species